AGCAGCCGCGGUAAUUCCAGCUCCAAUAGCGUAUAUUAAAGUUGUUGCAGUUAAAAAGCUCGUAGUUGAAUUUCGGGAUCAGUAUGUUGGUCGUGCUUCGGUACGUACUGUCAUUACUGGUUUCUACCUUCUGAAGAACCUUGAUGUCAUUAAUUUGGUGUCUUGGGGAAUCAGGACUGUUACUUUGAAAAAAUUAGAGUGUUUAAAGCAAGCAUACGCUUGAAUACAUUAGCAUGGAAUAAUGAAAUAGGACGUUUGAUUCUAUUUUGUUGGUUUCUAGGAUCGACGUAAUGAUUAAUAGGGAUAGUUGGGGGCAUUAGUAUUCAAUUGUCAGAGGUGAAAUUCUUGGAUUUAUUGAAGACUAACUACUGCGAAAGCAUUUGCCAAGGAUGUUUUCAUUAAUCAAGAACGAAAGUUAGGGGAUCGAAGACGAUCAGAUACCGUCGUAGUCUUAACCAUAAACUAUGCCGACUAGGGAUCGGAUGAUGUUAUUUUAAUGACUCAUUCGGCGCCUUAAC
rnacentral:rRNA from 1 species